GAUGAAGAACGUAGCGAAAUGCGAUAAGUAAUGUGAAUUGCAGAAUUCAGUGAAUCAUCGAAUCUUUGAACGCACAUUGCGCCCGCCAGUAUUCUGGCGGGCAUGCCUGUUCGAGCGUCAUUUCAACCCUCAGGCCCCCAGUGCCUGGUGUUGGGGAUCGGCCCAGCCUUCCUGUAAGGCCGCCGGCCCCGAAAUCUAGUGGCGGUCUCGCUGUAGUCCUCCUCUGCGUAGUAGCACAACCUCGCAGUUGGAACGCGGCGGUGGCCAUGCCGUUAAACACCCACUUCUGAAAGUUGACCUCGGAUCAGGUAGGAAUACCCGCUGAACUUAAGCAUAUCAAUAAGCGGAGGA
rnacentral:misc_RNA from 1 species